UGCACACAGCAGCUCUCUGCUGUGACGUGAGAUUUGUUUCCCUCCUUUUCGAGCCCUGUCUCUCCCACACAGCCCCACAGGCACCUGCUCACAAAGUCUUGUGAAAGUCUUGAAGUCUGUCUCUCUGGACAAAACUCCUAGUCUGAAUGGAUCUGUUCACCUGAAAAGGCAUUGCUCCAUCCCACUGCCCAACCUAAGGGAGAAGUUGAGAAUACAGGGUGUUUCAGCACUGAAGCACUGACUAAUUUCCUUUGGGUGCAUAUGAAAGACAAAACUUGAAUAUCCCAAAACAUUCUGGAUGAAGACCUUGAAUUCCAAGGAGAUCUAAAAAGAGAAAGUUUGGCGAUUAAUCAUGGAUCAUAGGACUGAGGAGAAAAGAAAGCAACGCCAUAGCUUGACCUUACUGGAACAACUAAAAAGAAUGAAAGAAUCAUCAGAGAUAGUUGAUGUUGUGCUAGUGGCCGAAGGUCAGAAAUUUCCCUGCCAUAAGGUGGUACUAGCUGCCUUCAGUUCUUACUUCAAAGCCAUGUUUACCUGUGGGUUGGUUGAAUGCACUCAAAGAGAAGUGGUACUGUAUGACAUGUCAGCAGAGAGCGUGUCUGUAAUCCUCAAUUACAUGUACAGCGCGGAUUUGCACCUCACUAACCAGAAUGUGCAGACUGUUGCUCUGGCUUCGUAUUUCAUGCAGAUGGAAGAUGUUUUCAGCUUGUGUCAAAAGUACAUGAUGGACCACAUGGAUGCUUCCAAUUGUGUGGGCAUCUACUACUUUGCAAACCAUAUUGGAGCAGAAGAUUUAUGUGAUCAAGCGAAGAGGUACUUAUAUCAGCACUUUGCUGAGGUGAGCUUACAGGAAGAAAUAUUGGAGAUAGAAGUCCAGCAGCUGUUGACUCUUAUAAAAUCAGAUGAUCUGAAUGUUUCCAGGGAGGAAAGCAUUCUGGACCUUGUCAUUAGAUGGGUGAAUCACAACAGAAAGUCGCGUGCAGAACAUCUUAUCAAGCUCUUGAAGGAAGUGAGACUGGUACUGGUCAGCCCUUCCUUUCUCAUGGAAGCCCGCAAAAGGAACACAGUGAUUCUGUGCAAUUCAGAAUGCAAUGAUAUGUUUGAGGAAGCGUUGAAAAGCAUCAAACUAGCCACCCACCCUUCUCUCAGCUUGAGAUAUGGCAUGGAGACUACUGAUCUCUUACUCUGCAUCGGCAACAAUUCACUUGGCAUUAGGUCAAGACAUGGGAGCUAUGCAGAUGCCAGUUUCUGCUACGCUCCUGCAACACAAAAGACUUACUUCAUUUCCUCUCCAAAGUAUGGAGAGGGUUUAGGAAGUGUUUGCAGUGGUGUUGUCACUGAGAAUAAUGAUAUUAUUGUGGCAGGAGAGGCAAGCGCCGCCAAAAUGUCUAGACAAAAAAACAGGAACAUUGAAAUUUAUAGAUACCACCAGCGAGGAAAUCAGUUUUGGCACAGCCUGUGCACCGCUCAGUUCCGUGAACUCUAUGCACUGGGCACUGUCCAUAAUGAUCUCUAUGUGAUCGGAGGGCAAAUGAAAAUCAAAAAUCAAUAUGUGGUCACAAACUGCAUGGAGAAGUACUCCAUGGAGCAAGGUACCUGGAGAACCACAGCACCUCUGCCAGUGCCAUUAGCCUGCCAUGCAGUGGUGACAAUGAAGAACAAGCUCUACGUGCUGGGUGGCUGGACACCACAGAUGGAUCUGCCUGACGAUGAGCCGGAUCGAUUAAGUAACAGAAUGUUUCAGUAUGACCCGGGCCGAGACAAAUGGGCAGAGUGUGCACCAAUGAAGUACUCCAAGUACCGCUUCAGCACAGCCGUGGUCAACAGUGAGAUUUAUGUCUUGGGAGGAAUUGGGUGCCUUGGCCGCGACAGGGGGCAGACACGGAAAUGUCUUGAUGCAGUGGAGAUUUAUAACCCUGAUGGAGACUUCUGGAGGGACGGACCUCCUAUGCCUUCCCCGCUCCUCUCCUUGCGAACAAACUCUACCUGUGCAGGCUGCGUGGAAGGCAAGCUGUACCUCUGCGGAGGAUUUCACGGAGCAGCUCUAAAACCUGACACCUGCACAGGUUGGCAGCUAUUAAUGUGAAGCUGGGCAUGGCAGAAGCAGACUCAUUAGUGCUCCUUGUUGGAGGAAGGGUGAGCAGCUCUGCAGUGAAAAGAAUGAAGGCAAGUGUGUGUUUGCUGUGACUGCUAUCAGCUCAUGGAGGCACAUACUCGAUGUCGUGCUGUAGCCUCAAAGAGAUCUCACAGCAUGUCUCUGGGGGCUGGGGCAGGGGGAACAAUCAGCAGGGCUCUGUUUUCUUGAUCAUAGCUUUAGUCUGUAGGUGUUAGUCCAACUGUCUGCCUCAGAUUUGAACUAAAUUCUAUCAUAUUUAAACUUCAUUGUAAUUACUGUACUCCCAUGUGGCAUCAGCUGGUGUGCAAAGCGAAGGGACAGCCACCUCAAUUCAAAUAAGAUCCUUUACAGGCCUGCUGGUAGCGGCUCAUGCCACUUAAAACGCCUUGUGAUUUUAUCAGCUAUUGCAUUUGAUGUGGAACUGCCUUUCUCUGAACUGGCUGUUCUGCCAUCUUUCUUCAGCGCUGUUCAUAGAGAAGAUAACGUUUGCUGCUUCCCUACUCUAUAUGUUAAAAUUCUGUGUGGGGCCAGAGCAGCUCAGCUCAGAUCUGCUAUUUACUUAUCACUGCUAUCAAACAGUAAUUCAUUUUUUCACUCCAGGGGUAUUACUGGUGGCGGGAGGAAAAGGGGAAGAGAUGCCUUUGGACUUGGAGCACAAGAAUCUCAAUUUUGUCUGCAGCUGUUAGAUAGGUGAUAUGGUAACAGUCUGCUAACUGUGUAACUCUGAUUCUACCAAAAAAAAAAAAAAAAGUAUGCUUACCCCAGGUGUGCUUUCUGGCCUCUUCUUCCCUAUUUACAUAAAUUGCAAUCCAUGUGCUGGAAUAGCAGCAGCACUGCUUGCGGCAGCGCAGAGCCGGGUCAUAAUUACUGUAUUCCAGCUGAGCUAAUGAGUUUGCAUCUCCAUGCCACCCUCUCCUGACAGUGGACUAGCUUAAUAGUUAUUUAUUUUGACUAAUCUCCCAUAAAGGCUGUUCCCCUCAGCCUCAUCCAUUAUGUGAUUUAGAUGGAGAAUCGCUGUAAUGCCUGUUUUGUUUUUUUUUAUUAUAGUGGUUAUGGUACAUUACUGGAAUCAAAUUAAAUCUAGACAUUAAGAAGUCUGGCACAGUAAAUACUAGACUUGUGAAGUUUGGGGGAUGAAGGAUUGGAAGGAAAGCUGUUUCUCCAGCACCUUCGCAUGUUCCCAGCUAAAUAAAGCAGAGGGGCAAACCCUGGGCUGCAGAUCUGCAGCACUGCUUGCUUCCCUCGGUUAGAAUUUACCAGGCAGUGAUGAAUAAUUAAAGUUCUCCUGCCCACAGUUGUUACCAUUUACAUAUGCAUCCCCACCCAUGAAAUGGAUUUGAGGUCCCUGCGUUUCACUCAGCACAGAAAUCUGACACACCACUGCUGCUUGUCUAUGGGUCCACUCUGAAAAAUGCCGCUUGAAUUCUGUCCGUUCUCUGAAGGGCUGCUCUGACACCUCUCCGGGGUGCUCCUUCCAGCCCUGUGCUCAUUAGCUAGAAUCUCACUGUGGUAAAUAAGGCCAGUGCAGGUCAGGAAAUCACUGGUGAGCAGCACCUGCUUGUUUCAGAUCUAAAUUCAGCCUGCCGCCUGACUGUAUUAGUAAUUCGGUCAUGCUCCCUGCAAAGAUUCAUUUAUAACUUAUAAAGGGUUAAUAAAUGAUUAAUUGACAUUUUAAUGCAUCUUAAUUAAUUGCUAAAGAGGUCAAUAGGUUGUUUAGAAACAUGGCUCACAGCCAUGUAUGACAUCUUCCAUUGUGUUCAUAACUGCCUGUCAUGCGUACAGUCUAAACAUGCUUUAUAUCACCGAUUAAUAAUGUAUUAGCCCAUCACAAAGCAUUUAGAAACAGUAUCUUAAUAUGGUCGGAGGCCGCUGAUUCCUAUUCUGAUCUCCCAGCUUUUAUUCCCGUGAAUGGUGCAUUGACUCCAGGAGCACUGAUCCUGCUCUGCUGUGACCCACCAUCCUGCCCCCAGCACCAUCAGCAUCCGUGCCCAUAGGGCUGGAGGAGGCCUGGCCCACGAACAAUAGAUAACUGGAAAGAGUUCAAAAGCUGAAGCAGCUGGAUCAAUCCCAAGAAAAUCAGUUGAAAUAACUGAAUCAGAAGCUCCUUCCUGUCGGCCAUUCUUUAUUUAUUUUAAUAGAUAUUGAUUUGUGAGGGAAUGGGUGGAUCACAGUUACGGUCCUGAAGAAUUAGACAGCAGAGCGAGAGGAUAGAAGCCUCGUCUAUGAGAGCGAGUGGCUUACCUUACUCCAUGCCGGUGCUUGGAAAACAGUGAGCUGCCAUAGCUAUAAAUUCAGCUUUUGCCGUGUCUGGUGGGGAACGCUGCCUUGGAACUCGGCAUCCUGAAGGCUGGCCAGCAUGUUAAACAGCCGAACCAAGUUCCCUCUCCUGUGUAUUCUCUGCCUGCUUCUGCCCACAGGCGUGGAUGAUGGAUGUGUGACCCCCUGGGUGUGAGCGAGGCUGGUGGAGUUGGGGGCAGCUCGCAGGCUCAGAUGGGAUUGGAGGCCACAGACUUGAUGAACUUACUCUUUUUUCUUCUGCACAUCAGGAACCAGUACAUCUGGAGAUAAUGAUCUAAAUGCACUUUCUUCCCAGUGUGACACAAAUGUCAAUUCCCAAGUCACCUAACUCUACAUCAUGUAAUUAUGAAAGCAGCUAUUAGUGGCGAGGAAGAUAAGUAGGAGAGGCUAAUCCCACAUGUUUAAAAUCACCGUCUGCUCUCUGGUGCAGAUAAUGGCAUGCAAAACCAGUUAGGAACCAGCACUGGAGGCCGAGCUGCUUCCGGGCAGCUCUGGAGUGGCUGCUGGGUGACAAGGACCUGGGAAUCUUUUGGAAGAGCACCCUCAGUAUGUGGCUCUGGGGACUGAUGGGCACCUUGUGAUGUUCAAGUGCUUUUUCCAUGGAAAGAGCGGAGCAGCUAGUUAACAAUUCAACCACUAGAAGUCUGAUGGCUUUUUUCAUAAAUAGAUUUAUGGAUAGGGAAGAUAAAGCAUGUUAGAGUACUGUGCUGAUGGGAAAAGUUUCUGAGACAACCUGAGAAGUGCCAGGACUGACAUCAGCAGGAGCUGGGAAAGCAGUCUAGGUGAGGAUGUUUCAGGGCAUCUUAAGGACAAGGGCAGAUGUGACACCAAGACUAUUUCAGGCUGGAUAUUAGGAAGAAUUUCUUCUCAAAAAAGAGU